AUUGAACGCUGGCGGCAUGCCUAACACAUGCAAGUCGAACGGUAACGCGGGGGCAACCCUGGCGACGAGUGGCGGACGGGUGAGUAAUACGUAGGAAUCUGCCCAUUUGUGGGGGAUAAC
rnacentral:rRNA from 1 species